AAUAAUAAUAAUAAUAUCUCUUCUGGACAGUGGAUCAGUUUGACUUUGUCAUCAUGCUGUGUGCCGGAGAUCUCCAGUGCUUCUGGCACUUUGCUCGCUAUGGUGAACGCUUCUACUUACACUUCAUGGUCCAGCUGGUGACUGUGUGGCCCUUGAUACACAUCUGUCUGUGAUUGUUAAUGCUCCGAGCGGAUUAAUAAUCGGCACAGCUGACGAUGAAAGUGGUCAGAUUGUCUUCAGUGUUGAGGAGACUGGUUUUCCUGAACUUUGGUGUGUGUUACGAGAGACAAGAGAAUAAAAAGGAAGAAGAGAAGAAAAAAAAGAGUAGGAUAUGAAACAGAUGAACAGUUCAUUGUCCUUCAUUGAGAAAGAAGAGCAGCAGUGGAUUGCAGUCACAUGAAGCUCCUGUGAGGACGCUGAACAUCUGCUGAUGGAGCUGCUCUAUUCUGAGAGGAACAGAAUCACCUGAUGAUCAAACAUGAG